CAGGGGCAAAAUCAUAAUUUUACUAAAAUCCUGAUUUGAUAGUAUCAUUUGGUAGAAUAAAUGAUUUGUAAUCUAUUGGUGAAAAUUUCAUUAUUUUUGGGCUUAUAUUUUUGAAGUUAUGAAGGUUUGAAGUGCAUGAGUCGACUCAUGAGUCAACUCAUGGCACAAUGAGCUGAUUGGCACGCAAAAAUUUCCCUUGGCACGC
rnacentral:lncRNA from 1 species